rfam:Perkinsus marinus ATCC 50983 gcontig_1104296409044, whole genome shotgun sequence.
UCGACUGUACUCGAACAGGAUCACUUAUGUAGUGAUUUCCUUUCGUUCACAAGAGUACUCUUGACAAAACCCUAAACCGUGAUGAUGAUACGUAUACCGCAUCCACUCGGAGGUUUAGUCCACUCCACUGAUGUGGUAGUGCGACUUCGAUGAGUUCAUCUCCUCAAAAGGGGGAUGUGGGUGACGGUAAUACUGAGCGGUU